rnacentral:rRNA from 1 species
UACGGAGGGUGCGAGCGUUAAUCGGAAUUACUGGGCGUAAAGCGCGUGUAGGCGGUCCGGUAAGUCCGCUGUGGAAAGUCGGGGGCUCAACCCUCGAAUGCCGGUGGAUACUGUCGGGCUAGAGUGCGGAAGAGGCGAGUGGAAUUCCUGGUGUAGCGGUGAAAUGCGCAGAUAUCAGGAAGAACACCCGUGGCUAAGGCGGCUCUCUAGUACGGUACUGACGCUGAGACGCGAAAGCGUGGGGAGCGAACAGG